GUCCCUGUAGCGCAAUGGAUAGCGCGUUGGAUUUCUUGUCCAAAGGUCGUGGAAUCGAAUCCCACCUGGGAUG